GAAAUGCGAUAACACCCAGGCAGGCGUGCCCUCGGCCUAAUGGCUUCGGGCGCAACUUGCGUUCAAAGACUCGAUGGUUCACGGGAUUCUGCAAUUCACACCAAGUAUCGCAUUUCGCUGCGUUCUCAUCGAUGCCGUGGAAGCAAGC
rnacentral:rRNA from 1 species